GCACACACCUCCAGGCCAGCUGUAAUGUGUGACAAGGGAGCACAAGGCUAGCUGCCUUCACAGUAUUUCCAGCAAGAACAGGAGCAGGUCCCCCAGGAGCCUCCGCACAGGACUGCUGAUCUCCCCAAGGCUGGAAGACCAAAGCUGGGAAUCUCAACUGCCUGUAAAAUUAGUCCAGGGAAAAGUAUCUGUGUGUUUAUGAGUAAACCUCCCAGUACAGUUUUCCUGUAAAGCCCUUGACUGCAUAAGGUCUACGCAGGAGGUCCGAGCCAGCUUGAUUCAGGUCACUACAUCCAGCAAGAUUAGAGGCAAUCAAAACCUUGUAGUGCAGAAACACUGAGGCGAUUUAACAACAAUUUGCUGUACAGUUGGCAGACUGGUGAAGCUCUGAAUGCAGACCCCUAAAAGAACUAGACUUGCAGGACACGGGCAUAUAGGCAAUUUGAAGUUGCCACUCCAAGGAGGGACUUACAGAUGUAUGUGUGCAAAAGCAAUGUGAAGGCAGUCCCUGUGUUAAAUCUUGCCUUCUCCAUACAGCUGACUGCACACAGGUGCGUACACCCCUGAUCGAUACAAAUGCUAUCGAUAGACAUCUGCUAAGAACUGGACUGAGAUCCUCCAGCCUUUUCAUAUCAGUUGCUGAACAGAUGGUGAGCCAUCAUCGUUAUUUCAUAUUCCAGACUCAUGGAGAGGGGCUGUGAGCUGGCAAUGUCUUUUUCUCAGCUUGGGACCAACAGAUCUUUAAAAGUCACAACAUUAUUAUUAUUCUGUUCAUCUCUAGGGAACUACUAAGAUUGGGGCGCCUCGUACUAAGUACAUACACAGGAUAGAGGCUAGUAAGAAUUCCUUGUUCCAAACAGCUUAAGUGUGGACCUAAUUUUGGCACAAACCUGUGAGCUAUACCUAAACAAUCCUGACUUCCUUUGUGCCAGUCCCAAUGCCCCGUUUUGCUGAAAGGGGCAUCGUUUGGAUGUGAUCAGGUGGAUGGAAAGUUACUGUCCCUGCUCCCAGCUUCUUCUAGCAGUAACUGUUCAUCAUACACUCCUAAUUUCUGUAGUGACCUGCUGAAAGUGACUUACCUGUACUUACUUUAUGUCAUGUUGGAACAGAGUAUAUGUGUGAAUGCAGCUGAUCACUGUGUUUGUUGCAGUGCAAUGGGGAUCUCUGGUUCAGGCACGGUAACUUUUUAAGCUGCUUUAGUGUGAUAUCAAGUAUUCAUCUGAUGACACCAUUCAUGUCAGGUGAGUACAAAAGGCGAUAAAAAAAAUCUUGGUGAACAAUUUAUAGUGCCAAAGCUGAGCUGAGAAGCUAAACCACAACCAUCGUCUCUGUUAGACAGCAAGCUAACAGAAGCUGCAACAAACCAUUCUUAUAUAACGAAGCAAUUAUGUUUUCUCAGUCUCACAAGUUUUUGAAAACACAGCUUUCUCAGGCUUUCCACUGAUAACACUUUGAGGCUCUUCAGGGAAAGUAUGAUAAAUAAGCAGUCACUAUUGCAGGCGUGUUUUUGAUCAACAAUUUUUCCUGCGGAAAUAUCUUACAUUUUAUAUCUGUGCUGAUACACUCUCACACUUGAAAUAGGUCAAGUAGCUGUCACUGAGGAAAGAUCCCCGAUAGAAUCAGAAACAAACCAAAAAAAAGCCAUUGUAUCUAUGGGGGGAAGCAAGAUGCCUGGGUUAACUUUCAUGGUUAGAAAGAUAACUAAGUAAUGAAGCUGUCAUAGAGUUUCUCCAAACCAUUUUUUACCCUAAUCUUCCUGAAAUAUUAAAUUACAAGAGCUGCAGUAGCAGGCUCCCUAGACAAAACUGUGCCAUACAUACAAAUUAAAAAUAAAUUAUAAAUGGCUCUGUACAGGAAAAAAUGUAAUUCUUCCCAUCAAAGCAUUGAAUGGA